rnacentral:lncRNA from 10 species
ACAGAACUUCCUGGAGAACUUCCCAUAAGAGUACCUGGAGACCGCCUGCCUCACUGCUCAAGGAGUCUGUUCUUCUUCCUCCGGCCCCUGCUGGGACUCUGGAAUCCCUGAGUAAAGCAAGGCGUUCAGAAGCUCCUCCACUGUAAUGCACACGUGUUCUCACUGGUGGACAAAUCUUUAACUCUCCUGUUGCUCACUGAAUAGUGCUCCAGAGAUGUUCUGACCAGCAUACAGCAGAUGACAGGGACAGGAAACCAGAUGGAAAGGGAUUUAUUAUAAUUUUUCCUUCACAAAACUAUACUUUAGAAAAGUGAAACAUGCUGAAUGCCGAAAAUUGGGAAAGUAUAGAAAAUUAUAAAGAAUAAAAAUAAAAUAUAAU